rnacentral:rRNA from 1 species
CUGAGACUAUAAGUCUCCUGAAGGAACGUUGAAGACGACGACGUUGAUAGGCCGGGUGUGUAAGCGCAGCGAUGCGUUGAGCUAACCGGUACUAAUGAACCGUGAGGCUUAACCUU